CCUACGGGAGGCAGCAGUGAGGCAUAUUGGUCAAUGGCCGCAGGGCUGAACCAUCCAAGUCGCGUGAGGGAUGACGGUCCUAUGGAUUGUAAACCUCUUUUGUCAGGGAGCAAAGGGCGCCACGUGUGGCGCUUUGCGAGUACCUGAAGAAAAAGCAUCGGCUAACUCCGUGCCAGCAGCCGCGGUAAUACGGAGGAUGCGAGCGUUAUCCGGAUUUAUUGGGUUUAAAGGGUGCGCAGGCGGAAUGUCAAGUCAGCGGUAAAAUUUCGGGGCUCAACCCCGUCGUGCCGUUGAAACUGGCGUUCUUGAGUGAGCGAGAAGUAUGCGGAAUGCGUGGUGUAGCGGUGAAAUGCAUAGAUAUCACGCAGAACUCCGAUUGCGAAGGCAGCAUACCGGCGCUCAACUGACGCUCAUGCACGAAAGCGUGGGUAUCGAACAGGAUUAGAUACCCCUGUAGUC
rnacentral:rRNA from 1 species